rnacentral:sRNA from 1 species
CGCCAACGCGCAGGUGCUAGCGGCCCCUUCGCCCUGCAGCCCCUUUGCUUUUACUCUGUCCAAAGUUAACAUGUCAUUGAAAAACGAGCCACGGGUAAAUACCUCUGCACUGCAGAAAAUUGCUGCUGACAUGAGUAAUAUCAUAGAAAAUCUGGACACGCGGGAACUCCACUUUGAGGGAGAGGAGGUAGACUACGACGUGUCUCCCAGCGAUCCCAAGAUACAAGAAGUGUAUAUCCCUUUCUCUGCUAUUUAUAACACUCAAGGAUUUAAGGAGCCUAAUAUACAGACGUAUCUCUCCGGCUGUCCAAUAAAAGCACAAGUUCUGGAAGUGGAACGCUUCACAUCUACAACAAGGGUACCAAGUAUUAAUCUUUACACUAUUGAAUUAACACAUGGGGAAUUUAAAUGGCAAGUUAAGAGGAAAUUCAAGCAUUUUCAAGAAUUUCACAGAGAGCUGCUCAAGUACAAAGCCUUUAUCCGAAUCCCCAUUCCCACUAGAAGACACACGUUUAGGAGGCAAAACGUCAGAGAGGAGCCUCGAGAGAUGCCCAGUUUGCCCCGUUCAUCUGAAAACAUGAUAAGAGAAGAACAAUUCCUUGGUAGAAGAAAACAACUGGAAGAUUACUUGACAAAGAUACUAAAAAUGCCCAUGUAUAGAAACUAUCAUGCCACAACAGAGUUUCUUGAUAUAAGCCAGCUGUCUUUCAUCCAUGAUUUGGGACCAAAGGGCAUAGAAGGUAUGAUAAUGAAAAGAUCUGGAGGACACAGAAUACCGGGCUUGAAUUGCUGUGGUCAGGGAAGAGCCUGCUACAGAUGGUCAAAAAGAUGGUUAAUAGUGAAAGAUUCCUUUUUAUUGUAUAUGAAACCAGACAGCGGUGCCAUUGCCUUCGUCCUGCUGGUAGACAAAGAAUUCAAAAUUAAGGUGGGGAAGAAGGAGACAGAAACGAAAUAUGGAAUCCGAAUUGAUAAUCUUUCAAGGUACACAUUUCAAAU